GGAAGCAUCAAAGAAUCAAUGUUUGCAAAAGAAAACUGAAGCCAAAAAUCUUCAAGAGUGAAAAAAAAAAACCCAACCAAAAAAGAAUUCUUGUCCAUCUACUUCCAUGGAAUCUCUACAGGAGACAUAUAAACUUACUGGAGGACUUCUCUUUGAUGUAUUUUAGAUUUUGGUCUGACAAAUUUUCCUCUACUGGCAUAGCUUCCAGAAGCCAGGAUCUCCUCUAUUCCACAGUGAGACACUGGAGAAGAAUAAUGGAGGAUGCUUGAACACAAAAGACAAUAAUUUAGACCUAUCCUCAUGGGGCUGAAAGCCUGACAGAAACAAUUUAGAGGGAAAGCCAAAGCAAAGUAACAGAAUGCAAUUAAAGGACACUAUAGCCCAUGAUAAUAGAUCUAGAGUUAGAGAGGAUCUCAGAUGCCAUUGUCAAACUAUAUCUAUUUCUAUUUAUCUGUCAUAUUUUGGUCAUAUACUAAAGACAUGUUUUUUCUUUAAAAAUCUAUUACAAAUCAACUGAGGGACAAAAGAAUUUGUCAAAUUUUAUUUAUUGUAUUUUUCUCAAUACAAAAGUAUAACCACUA